rnacentral:rRNA from 1 species
AUGAACGCUAGCGGCAGGCCUAAUACAUGCAAGUCGAGGGGUAACAGGUGUAGCAAUACAUGCUGACGACCGGCGCACGGGUGCGUAACACGUAUACAAUCUGCCUAUAACUGGGGGAUAGCCCGGAGAAAUCCGGAUUAAUACCCCAUAACAAUAGAGAAAGCAUUUUCUUUAUUUAAAAACUCCGGUGGUUAUAGAUGAGUAUGCGACUGAUUAGCCAGUUGGUGAGGUAACGGCUCACCAAAGCUACGAUCAGUAGGGGUACUGAGAGGUUAAACCCCCACACUGGUACUGAGACACGGACCAGACUCCUACGGGAGGCAGCAGUAAGGAAUAUUGGACAAUGGCCGCAAGGCUGAUCCAGCCAUGCCGCGUGCAGGAAGAAGGACCUAUGGUUUGUAAACUGCUUUUGUACGGGAGAAAACCCCACUACGUGUAGUGGGCUGAUAGUACCGUAAGAAUAAGCAUCGGCUAACUUCGU